rnacentral:rRNA from 1 species
AUGUGUAUCUUUACACACUUCCAUUCAGGGUCGCUUGAUGUGCAACGACUCAAUUAUGGGGUGAUCACACUGCUCCCUAAGACAUCUGGAGCAGACCACAUUCAGCAAUUCCAUCCAAUAUGCCUGCUUAGAUGCCCUUACAAAUUGAUCACCAAGGCACUAGAUAGGAUGGUGGAGAAGUAUGCUGAUAAGUUGAUUAGUUUGUCAUAAAAUGUGUUUGUCCAAGGGAGGAACAUCAUGGAUGGAAUCAUGUCUCUCCAUGAACUCCUUAACUAUACACAUGUCAAGAAGAAAGUUGGGGUGGUGUUAAAGCUAGAUUUUGAAAAAGCUUACGAUAAGGUUGAUUGGGAAUUCCUUUUGGAAUGUCAUAAACUCAGAGGGUUUAAUGAUGUUUGGUGUGGACGAGUGAAGCAAAUCAUGUACAAUGGUAUAGUGAGUAUUAAACUUAACAACAUUGUGGGACCCUACUUUCAAAGCCAAGGGGUGAGUCAAGGGGACCCGCAUUCACCUUUUUUAUUCAAUCUGGCUGCUGACUGUUUGAACAAGAUGAUUAAAAAAGCUCAACAAAAUGGCAUGCUGACUGGACUUGCUUCGGAUCUUAUUCUGAAUGGUGUGGUUGUUCUACAAUAUGUAGAUGACACUAUAAUUUGCCUCGAGCAUGAUCUAGAGAAAGCUAUGAAUCUUAAAAUUCUAUUGUAUAUGUUGGAGUUGAUGUCAGGCCUGAAAGUCAAUUUUCAGAAAAGUGAGAUUCUGACUAUUGGGGGGAAUGUUGAGAUAGACAAGAAGUGCGCUGAGCUUUUUAACUGUGAGAUUAGACAUUUUCCAAUCAAGUAUCUGGGGAUGCCUGUUAGCUUUUCCACUCUUAAAGAUACCGUGUGGGAAUUUAUAGUGGACAAAUAUAUGAAAAAAUGGGUCCUGGAUUGGGAAUGUGGCCUCUAUAGGUGGCGGACUCACCCUACUCACUUCUAUGUUGACACAGAUGUCCCUAUACCAUAUGUCGAUGUGGCUAAGGAGCAAAACCUUUAUUGA